CUCUUAGUGCCGAGAGAAGAAAAAAAAAAAGAACGGGAAGAGUUCUCAUUUUUUUCAUUGAAAGAAAUCGCAAUCUAUGAAAAUCCAACGGCCCGAUCUUCAAUUCGUUUUCGGAAAUGUGAUCCUUGCACUCGGAUCUAGGUUUCUACCAUUCGCUUUGUGGUAUUUGGGAUUGUUGGAACUUGCUUGAAGUUACCCAAACCUUGGGUUUUGGUUUGGUGAUCUUGUACGGCACUUUGUGGGUCAAACCUAGGAUUGCUGGAAUUAGGAGUACGAGCAAUCCAAGAGUACAAGGCAAAAAGAUCAAGGAUGUGUACUUGAGUCGUGAGUCAUAUGCGGUCUACUAAGACGUGGCUAACACCACAACUGUGUAGAUGUUCUUUAUGUUGCAGGUUUAGGCGUCUUGUGUAGUAGAUCGUGUGCGAGCUUAGAAGUCAUUGAAGGGACUUAAUCGUGAUGCUGUUUGGUGAGACACUAACUUGACCCAAGUUAAUCUCUCUUUAUAUUGUAGUGAAUUGUACAUUAUAAUUGUAAUUUGAGAUGUAAUGAUAUUAGAAGCUCUAGUUAGUUUAUUGGAAAUGUUUAUAUGGUCAAUUCAAAGACAAAAA